rnacentral:rRNA from 1 species
UACGUAGGGGGCGAGCGUUGUCCGGAUUUAUUGGGCGUAAAGAGCUCGUAGGCGGUUCGAUAAGUCGGACGUGAAAUCUCCACGCUCAACGUGGAGGGGCCGUUCGAUACUGUCGUGACUCGAGUCCGGUAGGGGGGUGUGGAAUUCCCGGUGUAGCGGUGAAAUGCGCAGAGAUCGGGAGGAACACCCGUAGCGAAGGCGGUUCUCUGGAACGCAACUGACGCUGAGACGCGAAAGCGUGGGGAGCAAACAGG